GAGGGUAUAGCUCAGUGGUAGAGUGCAUGCUUAGCAUGCAUGAGGUCCUGGGUUCAAUCCCCAGGACCUCCA
rnacentral:tRNA from 1 species